rfam:Gorilla gorilla gorilla genomic chromosome, chr9, whole genome shotgun sequence
GCCAGUGUGCCAAUGCCUAUCAAAUAUCUACCUGCCAUGUUUGUCAUAGGACAGGUAGAUAUUUGAUAGGCAUUGGCACAUUGGG